CUGGCGGCGUGCUUAACACAUGCAAGUCGAGCGGUAAGGCCUUUCGGGGUACACGAGCGGCGAACGGGUGAGUAACACGUGGGUGAUCUGCCCUGCACUCUGGGAUAAGCCUGGGAAACUGGGUCUAAUACCGGAUAUGACCUGCUCUCGCAUGGGGGUGGGUGGAAAGAUUUAUCGGUGCAGGAUGGGCCCGCGGCCUAUCAGCUUGUUGGUGGGGUAAUGGCCUACCAAGGCGACGACGGGUAGCCGACCUGAGAGGGUGACCGGCCACACUGGGACUGAGACACGGCCCAGACUCCUACGGGAGGCAGCAGUGGGGAAUAUUGCACAAUGGGCGAAAGCCUGAUGCAGCGACGCCGCGUGAGGGAUGAAGGCCUUCGGGUUGUAAACCUCUUUCAGCAGGGACGAAGCGCAAGUGACGGUACCUGCAGAAGAAGCACCGGCUAACUACGUGCCAGCAGCCGCGGUAAUACGUAGGGUGCGAGCGUUGUCCGGAAUUACUGGGCGUAAAGAGUUCGUAGGCGGUUUGUCGCGUCGUUUGUGAAAACCCGGGGCUCAACUUCGGGCUUGCAGGCGAUACGGGCAGACUUGAGUGUUUCAGGGGAGACUGGAAUUCCUGGUGUAGCGGUGAAAUGCGCAGAUAUCAGGAGGAACACCGGUGGCGAAGGCGGGUCUCUGGGAAACAACUGACGCUGAGGAACGAAAGCGUGGGUAGCAAACAGGAUUAGAUACCCUGGUAGUCCACGCCGUAAACGGUGGGCGCUAGGUGUGGGUUCCUUCCACGGAAUCUGUGCCGUAGCUAACGCAUUAAGCGCCCC
rnacentral:rRNA from 1 species